GAGCGGCGGACGGGUGAGUAACGCGUGGGUAACCUGCCCUGUACACACGGAUAACAUACCGAAAGGUAUGCUAAUACGAGAUAAUAUACUUUUAUCGCAUGGUAGAAGUAUCAAAGCUUUUGCGGUACAGGAUGGACCCGCGUCUGAUUAGCUAGUUGGUAAGGUAACGGCCCACCAAGGCGACGAUCAGUAGCCGGCCUGAGAGGGUGAACGGCCACAUUGGGACUGAGACACGGCCCAAACUCCUACGGGAGGCAGCAUG
rnacentral:rRNA from 1 species